UGACUUAACUACUCCCAGCUCCUCUUUCUCAAUUGACUCUCUUGCUUCCAAGAAUGUCCUCAUACUGUUCUGACUGUAAAAGCUGCAGCUCAUCUGCAAGAGAAGCCUCACUUGGCCCAAGCCAUUUGCAACUUUCAAAUGACAGAAAAAAUGAGCUGUCACUGUCUUCUUGAAUACACCCAUCCAUGGAAUUUAUGGAGAACAAGAAGCCUCCUUCUAUCCCAAUAUGCGAACACAACACACUGGUGAACUAUGGAAUGAAUCGGUCUAUCCAGGAAUCUUUUAUUUAAAGAGAAGAGUUGGUUUCAAAGUAGAGCAACUGUAACUGACUCUGGCAGUUUGAUGAACAUCUAUCAAGUCAUUACCCUGUUUACUGGAUCACUUGCCUUUAUAUAUCCUUCAAAUAAGAAGCAUUUGGAGCUAGAGGGAUGGCCUAAGAAGAUGCAUACAGUAAUUGCUCAAUAAAUGGAAGUGACUAGCAGCAUGAUCUUCGGCUUGGAAUCUGAUCCCGAGGAGGUUUGAAGACUUUUUUGUUAUAUGAUUUUUGGAAGAGAAAAACUCCACAUCAGCAUCAUCUCCCUUGUGUUUAACACCUCAGACAAGAAAUUGAGCAUGGCUGCCUUUCUCUGCCCCAGGACAUAUGCAACAGUGGACUGGUCACCUUGGCAACCUGAAAGCUUUACUUCACAUAAGCACCCCAAGAAUGUCAGUUCCUCUCAAUGCAUAUCCAUAACAUUGUCAGGUCAGUAAUUACACUGACUGAGAUAAUAGUGUGUUAACAGAUCAAGCCUCCAGGGCUCAUCAAUUAUUCCUUCUCUCUUUCCUCAGUGAGGAUCUCAGGGUCCAGGGGAUUUGUGCUGUUAUUGGCCUCAGAGGUUUUCCGAUGGUUGGUUCUCUCACUACUAAUGCCUCUGGCAUGCUCCAUUUUCCCAGCACCACAAGUUGCAAUCAACACAUGCUGGCAGUUGACAUCUUUUAAUAUUUGUUGCUCUCUUUCUGCCUAGCACUUGUGGCUCCAUCUUGACAUGAAGCUGUUCCUGUUAUUGCCAUUACUAACUAAAUAGCCCUUGGACUCUAGCUGGGAAACAGUAUCAUAAAUUGCUUAGAGUUAUCCUAUUUCCUGCAAACAAAAACCCAGGCAGCUUCAGGCCCAUUUUUACUUUAUUAUUUAUACAGCCAGGUCAUUUAUUGCAGGAUAUCGCCUCUCCCUGGGUUGGAGGAGGUGAAUUAUUCCAUUUCCUAUCGUAAAUAUGCAACUCCUGAUUCAGCAGCCUCAACAGGAGGCAUACUUGGUAUGGAAGUGUUUGAACAUUUGUUGUUGAGAGUAGAAAUUCAUUAUCUGUGCCUUGCUCUUAUUUGGCACUUAACAUAGAGUGGAGCUAAAGAGGUGAAUUCCCCCACCUAGUUAGCCACUGGGUCGGGUCAUUGUUGUGGAGAUAAAUAUGAAGAGAGCUAGCCUGGACAGAUGUGCAUAUUCCAAUGGUCUAUUGGUUCUAUUUAGUGAGGGCCUGUUAAUUGCAUAAUGUGCCUGUGUCUGUGUCUUUCAAAUAACAUUUCUGGCCACCUGGGGAACUGUGAAGAAAGCAGAGGAAGAUAUAUAAAGAAUGGGUAUCAUUACCAUAAAGGCUGGAGAAAGGUUUGAAGGGAGAGAAGAAAUAUGCUCUUACAUCAGCUGCAGGAUUUUUAAUAGAAUGGCAAUCUGCUUAAUUAUGGGACAUUUUGCAUUGUAAAUUACUGUACAAGUAACAUCACAGCUGAGGGAGGUAAGGGUUGGGCAUUUGUAGGAGUAGAAGGAAGGCUGAGGGGUUUCUCACUAAAUGCAAAGAAAUGUCUCAGUAUUUUUGUAUUUCAAUAAA